CAACCAUCCCCGGGCCUCCCUUCUUAUUCCCCUGUCUCUCUCUCUCUCUCUCUCCGGGAACCCAGCUGAGGAUUCUUGUAAGGUUUAUUAAUUAACAACAUAUCAUCAUGGAUGCUAUCAUCGCUAAAACUGGCACGGUUGGCAGCAUAAUGCUAAGGAGAUUCUGUAGAAGAGCAAUCUUCAUGGACGAUGAUCAAUGCUUGGCAAGCAGCUUCUUCAUGGCAAAGGCUUGUUAACCUGUCCUUUGGUGCUAUCCUACCUGAGCUUUUUUAAGAAAAUAAAAAAAGAAAACCUAUCCCCUUCUUCACCUUAUUUCCUCUCUCUGUCUCUCCCCACGCACCAUAAUCUCUUCUUGACCUUGUAAGACCUUUUCUUGACCUUGUAAGACCCCUAACUAAAUCUGCUACUCUCGUUAUUAACAUCUUGAAAGGUUUCUUAUCAGAAUUUUCAUUUAGAGAGCUGUGCAAGUAGCAUCCGCUGUUCCCACCCAACUUACCGUCUGCUUCUCUGUCUAUCCCUCCUGAGCUAUAUAAUAAACAAAUCAUACUACAUAAAGCUAGUUUUCACAUGUCAAAAUCCCCUGUAUCAGAAUUCAGAAGCCAUUGCAGUUGCAGCAGCUAGUUAUAGCUUCAGAAAGGGCAUGCAGUAGUUUUCAUAUAACUGGUUCCUUAGUUUAUACUUUGGUUGUAAUUUAAAGAAAGGCUAAAAGUGUGAUGGAGCGUAGUCGAAUGAUUGUAAGGCUUUUGCUCAUAAUCUAUCGUGGUUUGUCUUUCUCCUCUCUUUUUUUCGUACUCAUCUGAGAAAGCAUUGAAUUCCAGUUUGUAUUGUUAUGCC